CCCGCACAAGCGGCGGAGCAUGUGGAUUAAUUCGAUGCAACGCGAAGAACCUUACCUGGGUUUGACAUACACCGGAAAACCGUAGAGAUACGGUCCCCCUUGUGGUCGGUGUACAGGUGGUGCAUGGCUGUCGUCAGCUCGUGUCGUGAGAUGUUGGGUUAAGUCCCGCAACGAGCGCAACCCUUGUCUUAUGUUGCCAGCACGUGAUGGUGGGGACUCGUAAGAGACUGCCGGGGUCAACUCGGAGGAAGUGGGGACGACGUCAAGUCAUCAUGCCCCUUAUGUCCAGGGCUUCACACAUGCUACAAUGGCCAGUACAGAGGGCUGCGAGACCGUGAGGUGGAGCGAAUCCCUUAAAGCUGGUCUCAGUUCGGAUCGGGGUCUGCAACUCGACCCCGUGAAGUCGGAGUCGCUAGUAAUCGCAGAUCAGCAACGCUGCGGUGAAUACGUUCCCGGGCCUU
rnacentral:rRNA from 1 species